rnacentral:rRNA from 1 species
AACGAACGCUGGCGGCGCGUCUUAAGCAUGCAAGUCGAACGGUAAGGGAGAGCUUGCUCUCCCCUAGAGUGGCGGACUGGUGAGUAACGCGUGGGUGACCUGCCCUGAAGAUGGGGAUAGCUAGUAGAAAUAUUAGAUAAUACCGAAUGUGCUCAUUUACAUAAAGGUAAAUGAGGAAAGGAGCUACGGCUCCGCUUCAGGAUGGGCCCGCGUCCCAUUAGCUGGUUGGUGAGGUAAAGGCUCACCAAGGCAACGAUGGGUAUCCGGCCUGAGAGGGUGAACGGACACAUUGGGACUGAGAUACGGCCCAAACUCCUACGGGAGGCAGCAGCUAAGAAUCUUCCGCAAUGGACGAAAGUCUGACGGAGCGACGCCGUGUGAAUGAAGAAGGCCGAAAGGUUGUAAAAUUCUUUUGCAGAUGAAGAAUAAGAAGAAGAGGGAAUGCUUCUUUGAUGACGGUAAUCAUGCGAAUAAGCCCCGGCUAAUUACGUGCCAGCAGCCGCGGUAACACGUAAGGGGCGAGCGUUGUUCGGAAUUAUUGGGCGUAAAGGGUAUGUAGGCGGUUAGGUAAGCCUGGUGUGAAAUCUACGAGCUCAACUCGUAAACUGCAUUGGGUACUGCUUGACUUGAAUCACGGAGGGGAAACCGGAAUUCCAAGUGUAGGGGUGGAAUCUGUAGAUAUUUGGAAGAACACCGGUGGCGAAGGCGGGUUUCUGGCCGAUGAUUGACGCUGAUAUACGAAGGUGCGGGGAGCAAACAGG